rnacentral:rRNA from 1 species
AUUGAACGCUGGCGGCAGGCCUAACACAUGCAAGUCGAACGGCAGCACAGAAGAGCUUGCUCUUCGGGUGGCGAGUGGCGGACGGGUGAGUAAUGUCUGGGAAACUGCCCGAUGGAGGGGGAUAACUACUGGAAACGGUAGCUAAUACCGCAUAACGUCGCGAGACCAAAGUGGGGGACCUUCGGGCCUCACACCAUCGGAUGUGCCCAGAUGGGAUUAGCUAGUAGGUGGGGUAACGGCUCACCUAGGCGACGAUCCCUAGCUGGUCUGAGAGGAUGACCAGCCACACUGGAACUGAGACACGGUCCAGACUCCUACGGGAGGCAGCAGUGGGGAAUAUUGCACAAUGGGCGCAAGCCUGAUGCAGCCAUGCCGCGUGUAUGAAGAAGGCCUUCGGGUUGUAAAGUACUUUCAGCGGGGAGGAAGGCGAUGUGGUUAAUAACCGCGUCGAUUGACGUUACCCGCAGAAGAAGCACCGGCUAACUCCGUG